UAGAAAUGGGGCAGGCAGGGUUAGCAAAGAAUACCUGUCCCUUGUCAGCCUCAUAAGGCAGUUGGAAGAAUGAAUGAGAUUAUGUCAAGAAGGCCAUUCGAGUUCCUCAGAGAAGGGCACUCUCUAAAUGCAGGGCAUGAUUAUGUGUCACUCCCAGGAAGAGGGAGAGCCAGGUUGUCUCUCAGGCACUCUCCACCUGUCACUGUAAUUGCAGAGACACUUUAAUAAUGGAGCAGAGCACUCGCUGGUCGGAAGGUGCAGGUCGCAGGUGCAGGAUUCUGUUUGAGGACCUGUGCAAGCUUUCCUAACAGGCUGGGGGCAGGGAGUGAAGCUGAAUGCAGAAAUCCUGUCCUCAGCUUUAAGGACUCCCUCCUCCUACCCGCUCUUCCCCCCAGAGGUGGAACCCCUGAGCAGACAGGCACUCCAUGAAUGCUCCUUUGCAGAAUUGGAUGGAACGACACUCUAUGCCGAGCAUCACUCCGGGGUGAUACAAGGAGAGGGGACUCUCAGGUGGGCCCAGUGGAUGGACAUUACUGGAAGACAGAUUUGUGAAGAGUUGAAGGGGGUGGAGAGUGGACAUCAUUACAAUAAUAUGCUUCAUACAAGGAAGAGCAGCCAAAACACGGGUCAGUUUUAAAGAUGGGAUCUUCUAUGUUCACCAGGCUCGCCUCAAACUCAGGUUCACUGCUUUAGAUCCAGGGCGUGACCCAACUAGCAUCACUGGUAUCACAGCUUGUGAGAAAUGCUGAAUGUCAGGCCUCAGCCCAGACCUGCUGAAACAGACUGCAUUUUAACAAGACUCCCAGGUGAUUCCUGCACACAUUAAAGUUCAUCUUUGCCAAAUAGA